AUUCGUUAUCAGAACGAUUUUCCGAUCGAACGCCGAGAAUCCGAUCGGAAAUUGUUAAAAGUAAACGAAGAAAUGGGGAUUCGAUUCAUAUUAAUGGUGAACAAACAAGGCCAGACUCGUCUUGCAUAAUACUACUAAUACCUAACCCUAAAAGAGCGUCGAACUCUGGAGGGUGAAAUAGUUCGCAAGUGCCUUGCUCGUAACGAACAACAAUGCUGGAAUUCAUACAUCUUUUAGUUGAAACUAUGGACUGUCAUUUUGGCAAUGUGUGCGAAUUGGACAUUAUAUUCCGCCUGGAGAAAGCUCACUUCAUGCUCGAGGAAAUGGUCAUGAAUGGCUAUAUUGUUGAAACAAGCAAGGCUAUAUUCUAGCACCAAUACAACUUAUGAACAAAGCAUCUUAACAGGUAUUUUCGUUCUGUUUUCUAGCGAACCCUGCAAAGAUCUUUCCGUUCUACUAUGCCUGAUGAAAUUGAGAUUCGGUUAUGUUGAGCAUUUGAAGUUCGGUUAAAGAGGCAAUGAAUUCUUGUAAGGUUCUGUUUAAACGAUAGUAAGGGGAUGUUUGGUUGGUUUUCCAUUAAGUCUACUAUUGAUAAAGCUUUCUGUGUGGAUUAAUCUGUCUGUAUAGGUUGGGAAUGUUUUGUUUGGGAUGGUUUUUCAUAAAUGGAAUGAGCAUGUUUUU